GGCGGCGUGCCUAAUACAUGCAAGUAGAACGCUGAAGGAGGAGCUUGCUUCUCCGGAUGAGUUGCGAGCGGGUGAGUAACGCGUAGGUAACCUGCCUGGUAGCGGGGGAUAACUAUUGGAAACGAUAGCUAAUACCGCAUAAGAGUAGAUGUUGCAUGACGUUUGCUUAAAAGGUGCAAUUGCAUCACUACCAGAUGGACCUGCGUUGUAUUAGCUAGUUGGUGAGGUAACGGCUCACCAAGGCAACGAUACAUAGCCGACCUGAGAGGGUGAUCGGCCACACUGGGACUGAGACACGGCCCAGACUCCUACGGGAGGCAGCAGUAGGGAAUCUUCGGCAAUGGACGGAAGUCUGACCGAGCAACGCCGCGUGAGUGAAGAAGGUUUUCGGAUCGUAAAGCUCUGUUGUAAGAGAAGAACGAGUGUGAGAGUGGAAAGUUCACACUG
rnacentral:rRNA from 1 species